rnacentral:misc_RNA from 1 species
ACAAAUGUAAUCCAAUUACCAACCACACUGUGCACUGUUAACGUAUGCUUUGGUAGGGAGUGAAAUGGCGAGUGCUCUCGGGCGCUGGUCUUUCGAUCUGCCAGAGUUUUUUAAAUACUAAACAAACAAACGUCUUAUUAUCUGACUGAACUUCAUUUAAACAAAUGAAAAUA